AUUGGCGGCUGUCGUAUCAUUGGUCCUAAGGUAGCCGAAUUCCUUGACAGGUAAGUUCCAGCCG
rnacentral:rRNA from 14 species